rnacentral:rRNA from 1 species
GACGAACGCUGGCGGCGUGCUUAACACAUGCAAGUCGAACGGAAAGGCCCUGCUUUUGUGGGGUGCUCGAGUGGCGAACGGGUGAGUAACACGUGAGUAACCUGCCCUUGACUUUGGGAUAACCUCAGGAAACUGGGGCUAAUACCGGAUAGGAGCUCCUGCUGCAUGGUGGGGGUUGGAAAGUUUCGGCGGUUGGGGAUGGACUCGCGGCUUAUCAGCUUGUUGGUGGGGUAGUGGCUUACCAAGGCUUUGACGGGUAGCCGGCCUGAGAGGGUGACCGGCCACAUUGGGACUGAGAUACGGCCCAGACUCCUACGGGAGGCAGCGGUGGGGAAUAUUGCACAAUGGGCGGAAGCCUGAUGCAGCAACGCCGCGUGCGGGAUGACGGCCUUCGGGUUGUAAACCGCUUUCGCCUGUGACGAAGCGUGAGUGACGGUAAUGGGUAAAGAAGCACCGGCUAACUACGUGCCAGCAGCCGCGGUGAUACGUAGGGUGCGAGCGUUGUCCGGAUUUAUUGGGCGUAAAGGGCUCGUAGGUGGUUGAUCGCGUCGGAAGUGUAAUCUUGGGGCUUAACCCUGAGCGUGCUUUCGAUACGGGUUGACUUGAGGAAGGUAGGGGAGAAUGGAAUUCCUGGUGGAGCGGUGGAAUGCGCAGAUAUCAGGAGGAACACCAGUGGCGAAGGCGGUUCUCUGGGCCUUUCCUGACGCUGAGGAGCGAAAGCGUGGGGAGCGAACAGGCUUAGAUACCCUGGUAGUCCACGCUGUAAACGGUGGGUACUAGGUGUGGGGUCCAUUCCACGGGUUCCGUGCCGUAGCUAACGCUUUAAGUACCCCGCCUGGGGAGUACGGCCGCAAGGCUAAAACUCAAAGGAAUUGACGGGGCCCCGCACAAGCGGCGGAGCAUGCGGAUUAAUUCGAUGCAACGCGUAGAACCUUACCUGGGUUUGACAUGGAUCGGGAGUGCUCAGAGAUGGGUGUGCCUCUUUUGGGGUCGGUUCACAGGUGGUGCAUGGCUGUCGUCAGCUCGUGUCGUGAGAUGUUGGGUUAAGUCCCGCAACGAGCGCAACCCUUGUUCACUGUUGCCAGCACGUUAUGGUGGGGACUCAGUGGAGACCGCCGGGGUCAACUCGGAGGAAGGUGGGGAUGACGUCAAGUCAUCAUGCCCCUUAUGUCCAGGGCUUCACGCAUGCUACAAUGGCUGGUACAGAGAGUGGCGAGCCUGUGAGGGUGAGCGAAUCUCGGAAAGCCGGUCUCAGUUCGGAUUGGGGUCUGCAACUCGACCUCAUGAAGUCGGAGUCGCUAGUAAUCGCAGAUCAGCAACGCUGCGGUGAAUACGUUCCCGGG